rnacentral:rRNA from 1 species
UGCAGUCGCACGAGAAAGCGGGGGCAACCUCGCAAGUACAGUGGCGUACGGGUGAGUAACACGUGGGUGAUCUACCUCUGGGUGGGGAAUAACGCUGGGAAACCGGCGCUAAUACCGCAUAAUCUCGAGAGAGCAAAGCAGCAAUGCGCCGAGAGAGGAGCCCGCGGCCGAUUAGCUAGUUGGUGAGGUAACGGCUCACCAAGGCCAAGAUCGGUAGCCGGCCUGAGAGGGCACACGGCCACACUGGCACUGAAAUACGGGCCAGACUCCUACGGGAGGCAGCAGUGGGGAAUCUUGCACAAUGGGGGCAACCCUGAUGCAGCGACGCCGCGUGAGCGAUGAAGCCCUUCGGGGUGUAAAGCUCUUUCGGCAGGGAAGAAUCAUGACGGUACCUGCAGAAGCAGCUGCGGCUAACUACGUGCCAGCAGCCGCGGUAAUACGUAGGCAGCGAGCGUUGUUCGGAGUUACUGGGCGUAAAGGGUGUGUAGGCGGUUCUCCAAGUUUGGUGUGAAAUCUCCCGGCUCAACCGGGAGGGUGCGCCGAAAACUGGGGGGCUAGAGUGCGGGAGG